CCAUCUUCCAGCACAGUGUUGGAUGGUCUAAUAGUGAAGCUCCUAACACUGUCUGGUAAAGAUGG
ensembl:miRNA MIR141 microRNA mir-141